UAUAUAUACAGGUUAGUUCAAAACUCAGAAGUUCAAAAGUCAAUAGUGAUUGGUCGAGCGAUAUGACGUCAUCGAUUUGGAAAUCACAAGGUUCUUAUAUAUACAGGUUAGUUCAAAACGAAGUCAAUGGUGAUUGGUCAAGCGGUAUGACGUCAUCGAUUGGGAAAUCAUGUCAACAGAAGAGCUAUAAAUCGUGAAAUUGCAACUUAAAACGCUCGUUGUUCCCUUCCGGAAUAAACUAUCAUCAUUUAUCAAAUGGUUUCAAGCCAAGUCUUUGGCGAAUGCAUUGAACCACUUAUCAAGUCAGUGGCAGAGGAAAAUUAUUCGCCCAGAUAAUGUGAUGAUGAAACAGCCCUGAUGGAGAGAUCCCACCGUCCUCCCAUCCUACGUCCGUGGUCCGUGCAACACAAUACGCCAGCCAGAUUCAAAUAAUUCAGGCCACUUCUUCCAAGGCCCAGUUAGGCCCCAUUCCAAGAAUUGACCGAAAAGGCCUUUAUUCAGCUUUUUACAAUCGUGGACACCCCAACAAAUUUGAGGAGGUCCUCAAUUGAGGACCUAUCCCCCUGCUACUUCACUUCCAUUGGCCUUCCGCAGGGGGAUUCCCUAUCGCCAAUUCUUUUUUAUCUUUAUAUAUCCGACCUGGCCGAAGCCCUCACCAAUUAAGGCCCCACCAUCAACCAUUUUCCGGUAUAAUAUCUGCAAUACGUAAACGACCUGAUUUUCUUGGCUGAAUCAGCAGUUGAAUUGCAAAAUGCCGUCAAUGCCCUGAACGGCUACUGACAAGAGAACGCCUUCAAGUCAAUACCAGAAAGACGAAGGCCAUGGUUUUCCAUAAAGGCCGUCUGCCUCCCACCUCCUUCUAUAUUAACAAUAGUCCGAUUGAAAUCGGCAAGUGCUUCAACUAUGUCGGUUUCACCUUCUCCACCCAACACUCCUUCACCAAUCACCUGAACUCUGCAAUGAACAAAGCCAGAGCUAAGAUCGGAUACUUGUGCAAUAGACUUCCCAUCGAGAAUCUUCUCCUUCCAAUAGUUCUUCAACUCUUCCGGACCUACAUCACUCUAAUUUUCCUCUACGGCCUUCACCUGUGGCUCCCAAACUCCGCCUCACUUUUUUCAUGUGCACUGAACCAAUUCUAGUGAUACUCAUUGUGACAUCACUUUCUAGUCAACUUUUUUUAUCAUUCUUGACCACUUCAUUCUUUUAUCCUUCAACCGAUUUUUGCAUAUAAUAUUUAUACAUACAGUUUGGAGAGAUGCCAUGAAUAUUGGACGCUAAUUGCGCGAUGACCUAAUUGCUCUCUUCAAUACGAAUGCUCGAAGACGACGACUGAGAAAAGAAAAUGGUUUUACUCAUUCUAAAAACGGAACUUACUAGGAAAAUAAAGAACUCGUGCAUCUCCCUAAA